CACACACACACACACACACACGUACACACAGAUGCAUACAUGAGCUUGCAUAUGGAAAUAAUGGUUGAGGUUUUAUCCCUAUUGUACACCUUGCAUAGCACCUCUCUGCAGCGGGAAACCCGUCAGCCAUGUCUCCACUGUUAUCUGUCCACAACUUGCUUGACUCUGCAGGUCAUCCAGCCCCCAGCAUUUGAAGCACACUUCCGCCUUUAAAGUUGUAUGCCACUACCUUUGAUAAUCAAGAUAGAACCUAAUUAAGCUUACCCAUGCAGAAGAUGCUCUCGCCUUUUUUUGCACACACACUUUUUGAGGAGAUGGGGGCCUAUACUGUUUCAGCUCAUCCAACUGUGAGAUUCUCCUUUCCCCUCUCUAGUCCUGCCAUCAUCUCACUAAUGGUGUUUCUAUCUCUUCUCCAUAGGAGGUAAAUGAAGCUUUUAAGCAGGGUGGAGGGAAGGGGGACCACUGCAAAGAUUAAUUGACUUUCUGCAGAGCUUCACUUAUCCUCCACUGGCACCUUUUGACUUGUCAGAGGUCCAGUCAUGCUACAAAACAUCCAUUCCAGACUGGGGGGGCUUGUCAUCUGUAUCUACUCAUAUCCUACAAUCUCUUUUGCUCUGAGCACUACUGCACUUAAAUGUCAGGGCUGAUGAGUCUGCCACACCCACCUGACACAUCCGCUCAGCGCCUGCUAAAAGCUUUUAUGGAACAGAGUGUGAGCCUGGUGGUUGAUAUAAAUUAAAGUGUUCUUUGCUUCUUCUUUUUUUUUUUGGGGGGGGGGGAUGUAUUAUAGCUCUAAAAAGACAACUUUGAGUAAGAACUAACGAAAGAAAGCAAGAGCAUAGGCUAUGAUUGGUUGCCAUCUGGUGGCGUGCUGCCACAUUUUAAUGGAUAGAAAGAAAGAUACGGAUACUGAACUCUCACCGCCUAAAACUGUAUUAUGUUUCACAUUAAUCAGACAAAGCAAAUAAUACACAUUUCCUCCACCUUUCUUAGUUUAUAGUCAUGAUCUCAUAUUGAUUGUAAUGCAUGCAAUCUGACAUAACAUUCAAAUAAACCAAUUUAAAAAACUGUUAUAAAUAAUAUAUAAUAAUAAAUCUGAAAGAAAGUUGUUACGAUUUAGUUGUGGGUUAAGUCAGGGAAGCUCAGAGAGUUUUGUAUUAUUUUAAAAAGUAUUUAAGUGUUGCAGCAAAACCUUUUUUUCCUGAAUUGCUAAUAACUCAUCAGUUACUAUGGCAUGAAUGACAUGUUUGGAAACUUUUUGAAUGAGAACUUGUGUAAAGAAUAUAAUACUACAUUGGCCUGUCUGGACUAAAUACACUGACAUCUACGUGGCAUUCAUAAAUGUGAUGUGAGUGUAACAUAUUGCAGUAUUUAAUGUUAUUGGACAACAUUUUUAAGAUUGAUUACUUUAUGCGCAAGGUGUCAUGUCUCUGUCUACUAAGCUAAGUCUUAAACUAUGCAAUCUUGAACUUUUUUUGCCUCAUGUUACCCCUCAUAAUUUAUAUUUUAAUCAUGCUCAAACUGCUUUAAGCUCAGCAUCUACAUUAAGAUUUAAGAAAAGUAAAGCAAGAAUUGUGCAAUGGCUUUGCGUUUAUCAUUUUGGGUCCAUAAUGUGUCUAUUGUUUGGAGAUGAAAUGUUGAAUAUUGCAUUGUACAAAUAGAACUUUAUUUAUUUA